rnacentral:rRNA from 1 species
GACGAACGCUGGCGGCGUGCUUAACACAUGCAAGUCGAACGGAAAGGCCCUGCUUUUGUGGGGUGCUCGAGUGGCGAACGGGUGAGUAACACGUGAGUAACCUGCCCUUGACUUUGUGAUAACUUCAGGAAACUGGGGCUAAUACCGGAUAGGAGCUCCUGCUGCAUGGGGGGGGUUGGAAAGUUUCGGCGGUUGGGGAUGGACUCGCGGCUUAUCAGCUUGUUGGUGGGGUAGUGGCUUACCAAGGCUUUGACGGGUAGCCGGCCUGAGAGGGUGACCGGCGACAUUGGGACUGAGAUACGGCCCAGACUCCUACGGGAGGCAGCAGUGGGGAAUAUUGCACAAUGGGCGGAAGCCUGAUGAAGCAACGCCGCGUGCGGGAUGACGGCCUUCGGGUUGUAAACCGCUUUAGGCUGUGACGAAGCGUGAGUGACGGUAAUGGGUAAAGAAGCACCGGCUAACUACGUG